rnacentral:rRNA from 1 species
AUUGAACGCUGGCGGCAGGCUUAACACAUGCAAGUCGAGCGGGGUGAUGGUGCUUGCACUAUCACUUAGCGGCGGACGGGUGAGUAAUGCUUAGGAAUCUGCCUAUUAGUGGGGGACAACAUCUCGAAAGGGAUGCUAAUACCGCAUACGUCCUACGGGAGAAAGCAGGGGAUCCCUUGUGACCUUGCGCUAAUAGAUGAGCCUCAGUCGGAUUAGCUAGUUGGUGGGGUAAAGGCCUACCAAGGCGACGAUCUGUAGCGGGUCUGAGAGGAUGAUCCGCCACACUGGGACUGAGACACGGCCCAGACUCCUACGGGAGGCAGCAGUGGGGAAUAUUGGACAAUGGGGGGAACCCUGAUCCAGCCAUGCCGCGUGUGUGAAGAAGGCCUUAUGGUUGUAAAGCACUUUAAGCGAGGAGGAGGCUCUUUUGGUUAAUACCCAAGAUGAGUGGACGUUACUCGCAGAAUAAGCACCGGCUAACUCUGUGCCAGCCGCCGCAGUAA